AUUGAACGCUGGCGGCAUGCUUUACACAUGCAAGUCGAACGGUAACAGGGAGCUUGCUCCGCUGACGAGUGGCGAACGGGUGAGUAAUGCAUCGGAACGUACCGUGUAAUGGGGGGAUAACGUAGCGAAAGUUACGCUAAUACCGCAUACGCCCUGAGGGGGAAAGUGGGGGACCGCAAGGCCUCACGUUAUACGAGCGGCCGAUGUCGGAUUAGCUAGUUGGUGGGGUAAAGCCUACCAAGGCGACGAUCCGUAGCGGGUCUGAGAGGAUGAUCCGCCACACUGGGACUGAGACACGGCCCAGACUCCUACGGGAGGCAGCAGUGGGGGAUAUUGGACAAUGGGCGAAAGCCUGAUCCAGCAAUGCCGCGUGAGUGAUGAAGGCCCUAGGGUUGUAAAGCUCUUUUACCCGGGAUGAUAAUGACAGUACCGGGAGAAUAAGCUCCGGCUAACUCCGUGCCAGCAGCCGCGGUAAU
rnacentral:rRNA from 1 species